rnacentral:lncRNA from 1 species
UAGAAUCUUCUACAACUUCCUAGUGUAUGUCCUUGAUAUCACCUCCCUCCCCUUUUAGCUUCGAGGUCUCCAAGAAGUACUCCUAUUGCGAGUCAGUACCAACGUAAGAAGUUGAAAAUUUGUCACAUAGUGUCUACAGUAUACUCCAAUUAUUAUUUACAUGGCAAGUAGUUCAUUGAUCCUUAUAACCAAUGAUAAUGUCCUACGCCUUUGAUUUCUAACCAGGCAUGAACUUCAGUGUCUUCAUUGUAAAAAUGUCCUGCAAAUACUCCUUCGAAAAGAUCACCAUAGGCAAGUUCUACC